rnacentral:rRNA from 1 species
UGGGGAAUAUUGGACAAUGGGGGCAACCCUGAUCCAGCCAUGCCGCGUGAGUGAUGAAGGCCUUCGGGUUGUAAAGCUCUUUUGGCGGGGACGAUGAUGACGGUACCCGCAGAAUAAGCCCCGGCUAACUUCGUGCCAGCAGCCGCGGUAAUACGAAGGGGGCUAGCGUUGUUCGGAAUUACUGGGCGUAAAGGGUGCGUAGGCGGCUUUACAAGUUGGAUGUGAAAGCCCAGGGCUCAACCCUGGAAUUGCAUUCAAUACUGUUUUGCUUGAAUUCGGUAGAGGUUGGUGGAAUUCCCAGUGUAGAGGUGAAAUUCGUAGAGAUUGGGAAGAACACCCGUGGCGAAGGCGGCCAACUGGACCGACAUUGACGCUGAGGCACGAAAGCGUGGGGAUCAAACAGGAUUAGAUACCCGGGUAGUCC